GUCUUUUUGUAAGUAAAAAAAGUCAAGCCUGCCCACUGAUAUUUUUAAGGGCCGCGGUAUUUUGACCGUGCGAAGGUAGCGUAAUCAUUAGUUUUUUAAUUGGAAUCUUGUAUGAAUGGUUAGACAAGAGAAAAUCUGUCUCUUUAUUAAAAAUUUAACUUAACUUUUAAGUGAAAAGGCUUAAAUUAAUUAAAGGGACGAUAAGACCCUAUAAAGCUUGAUAUAAAAUGGUAUUCAAUUAAAUUAAGGAUAAGAAUUUUAUGGCAUGGAUUAUUUUAUUGGGGCGAUAAGAGUAAAAAGUUUAAUAACUGCUUAAUAGAAAAAACACUUUAGUUGGAAUAAGAUUGUAAAAGAUCCUAAAUAUGGAUUAUAAGUUUAAGUUACUUUAGGGAUAACAGCGUUAUUUUUUUUGAGAGUACAUAUCGAAAAAAGAGUUUGCGACCUCGAUGUUGAAUUAAAAUUUCUUUAUAGAAGCAGAAACUAUAAAAGUUGGUCUGUUCGACCUUUAAAAUUUUACAUGAUUUGAGUUCAAACCGGCGUGAG
rnacentral:rRNA from 1 species